UUGCUGCAGCAACUGGAGUGGGAGCACCAGCACCCUGGGCUCGGAGUGGGACGCCAAGGAUUGUUUUAAGAAAAUGGCAGACAAACCGGACAUGGGGGAAAUCACCAGCCUUGAUAAGGCCAAGCUGAAGAAAACCGAGACGCAGGAGAAGAAGACCCUGCCGACCAAAGAGACCAUUGAGCAGGAGAAGCGGAGUGAAAUUUCCUAAGAGUCAGGAGGAUUCCCUGUCCCUGUCAUCUCGAGACCCCAGUCGUAAUGUGGAGGAAGAGACACCUCUAAGGUGGACAUGAGCCACAAGCUGCACUGUGAACCCG